rnacentral:rRNA from 1 species
AAAACAUUUCUAUAAGAAAUAAUUUAUAGUAAAAUCUGCUCAAUGACUUUAAAUAGCCGCUAUAUAGUGCUAAGGUAGUAUAAUCAUUUGUCUUUUAAUUAAAGACUAAAAUAAAAGAUUUAAUAUUUAAAUUUAUUUUAAUAUAUUUAUUUAUAUAAAUUUUUCUAAUUAUUAAAAAAUAAUUAUAAAAAAAAAAGACGACAAGACCCUAUUGAACUUUACUUGAGUUAAACUGGGGUAGUUAAUAAAUUAUAAUUUUUAUUAAAAUAAUUUUUUCAUUUACCCAAUAUAAUUGAAAAUUAAUUAAGUUACCAUAGGGAUAACAGCGUAAUAUAAUUCUUAAGAUCUCAUUUAAAAUUAAGUUUGCGACCUCGAUGUUGAAUUAAUUAACUUAAUAGCGCAAUAGCAAAAUAAGUAAGUCUGUUCGACUUUUAAACCAUUACAUGAUUUGAGUUCAGACCGGUAUAAGCCAGGUCGGUUUCUAUCUUUUUUCAAAUUCUUCUAGUACGAAAGGACCUAAGAAAAUUUUUAAAUC